rnacentral:sRNA from 1 species
AAUAAAUAAUGUACCAACGUGCUGUUGGCCUAGUGGUAAAUUUCCCAGAUGUAGGUGAUGUGUUCGAGGCACGUUGGGAGGGAUCUCUUCUCCACAGGAGAUGAAUUUAACCUGUUGUGGGUCCCGCUUCUGGGAGAUGUAGGAUCUUUGAGCUUGAAAUUUUAGAUAUUUAA